rnacentral:rRNA from 1 species
AAUGAACGUUGGCGGCGUGGAUUAGGCAUGCAAGUCGAGCGAGAAGCCUCCUUCGGGGGGCGGACAGCGGCGAAAGGGAGAGUAACGCGUGGACAACCUACCCCGAGGUCCGGGAUAGCCGCGGGAAACUGCGGGUAAUACCGGACGAAGUCUUCGGACCAAAGGUGUGAUUCCGCCUCGGGACGGGUCCGCGUCCUAUUAGCUUGUUGGUAGGGUAACGGCCUACCAAGGCUACGAUGGGUACCGGGUGUGAGAGCAUGACCCGGCUCACUGGGACUGAGACACUGCCCAGACACCUACGGGAGGCUG